CCCCGGGUCAUGCUCGGACAUGCCGGGCUGCGGCCAGCGGAGGAGCUAAGCCCCGACUUGCCUUCGCCUGGCGACGCUAUUUAAAGGCGGCCCGGCCCGGCCCCGCCGCUUCAUGCCAGUGCCGCGCUUCAGCUCAGCCGCGCGCCCGCCGGGAGCGCCCAGGGCUGGGCUUGGCUUGGCUCCGCUCCUCCGGGCGGACGCCCCGCUUCGCUCACACCGGCUCUCCUCGUUGCAGGCAAAUGUGCAACACCAAGAUGUCAGCUGGGUCGGACGACCGCCUGGGCGCCUCUGCCAUUCCCCCCGCCGAGCAGGAGGCACUGGUUAAGCCGAAGCCACUAUUGUUGAAGUUGUUAAAAUUUGCAGGUGCCCAAAAAGACACUUUUACAAUGAAAGAGGUAAUAUUCUAUCUUGGCCAAUAUAUUAUGUCUAAACAAUUAUAUGAUGAAAAACAGCAGCAUAUUGUCCACUGUGGAGAUGAUCUUCUUGGAGAUCUAUUUGGGGUACCAAGCUUUUCGGUAAAAGAACACAGGAAAGUAUACUCAAUGAUUUCCAGAAAUUUGAUAGCAGUCAGUCAACAAGAGUCUAUGGUAGCAAACACCUCUGAAAAUGAGACCCAGUGUCAACUUGAAAAAGGCAGUGUUCUAAAGGAAUCCAUGCAGGAGUUAGUUGACGAAAAACAGACAUCCCCAAAUUUGACUGCUAGACCAACUACCUCAUCUAGGAGGAUGCUCAGUGAAUCUGAAGAAAGUUCUUCAGAUGAACAACCUAGUAAAAGAAGAAAACGGCAUAAGUCAGACAGUAUUUCGCUCACAUUUGAUGAAAGCCUUUCUUGGUGUGUUGUAAGUGGGCUAUGCUGUGAAGGAAGCAACAGUAGUGACUCAAUAGACUCUGCAAGUCCUGAUCUUCAUGCCAGUUCAUUAAGCGAAAACUCUGAUGAUUGGUUUGACCAGAAUUCUGUUUCAGACCAAUUCAGUGUUGAGUUUGAAGUUGAGUCCAUUUAUUCAGAAGAUUAUAGCCAUAAUGAAGAAGGACAAGAGCUCACAGAUGAAGAUGAUGAGGUAUAUCAGGUGACGAUAUAUCAGACUGAAGAGAGUGAUGCUGAUUCAUUCGAUGAAGAUCCUGAAAUUUCACUAGCUGAUUAUUGGAAGUGCACUAAAUGCAAUGAAAUGAACCCUCCCCUUCCACGGCAUUGCCCCAGAUGCUGGGCUCUUCGUGAGGACUGGCUUCCUGAUGAAAAGAAUGACAAAUCUGAAAAGAGAAAAUUGGAAAGUUCCACGCAGCUAGAGCAUGUAGAGGGUUUUGAUGUUCCUGACUGUAAGAAAGUGAAAAUGAAUGAAGAUAAAGAACUAAGUGUUGAAGAAAGUGAGGAUACAACAGCGCAGACUUCUGAAUCCCAGGAAAGUAAGGAACACUCUCAGCCAUCUACAUCUAGCAGUAUCUUCUGUAGCAGUCAAGAGGAUUGCAAAGAACCUGACAAAAAAGAGACAGAAGACAAAGAGGAAAGUAUGGAAUGCAAUCUGCCCCUUUCCAGCAUAGAGCCCUGUGUCAUAUGUCAGAGCAGACCUAAAAAUGGCUGUAUAGUUCAUGGCAAGACAGGACAUCUUAUGUCGUGUUUUACUUGUGCAAGGAAACUGAAAAAGCGGGAUAAACCCUGUCCAGUCUGUAGACAGCCAAUUCAGAUGAUUGUGCUAACUUAUUUUAGUUAGAAGGAACUUCAGCAUAACUGUGCACAGGGCCGGCUCUAGCCAUUUCGCUGCCCCAAGCAUGGCGGCACGCCGCAGAGGGCGCUCUGCCGCUUGUUGGUCCACUGGAGCCGCCUGCCGCCCUCCCGGCAACCGGCAGAGCACUCCCUGCGGCAUGUCGCCCAAAGCGCGCGCUGGGGCCUGGAGCAGCCCCUGACUGUGCAACAAAGCCUCAACAGUCUUUCUUAAAAACUUCCAUAGACUUGAACAAUUAAGAGAGUAAGGAGCUAUUUUUCUAUGUUUAACUAAAGACAUAAUAUUUUGGGUGAUUAUUUUUUUCGUUUGGUUUUAAUGAAAAGUGGAUCUUAAAAAAAUUGCACUGAAAUUGAUAAUUUUCUUCAUUAGGCAUUUGGGGAGAUUUUAAAAUACCCAAAUGCCUGAAACUUAUUUCCAUGUUAGGGAAUCUGUCGCAACAAGACUUGUACAUCACAAGCAGAUCAGUAAUGACACUUGUACAACUAUAUAGAAUAUCCAUUUUAAAAUAGUGAAUGUAAUGUUUUUGAGAAAUGAGAGCGAUCUCAAGUUUCAUUAUUGUGAAAAUCAGUUUUUCUUUGCUCUAAGAAUUAAUAGAUUUUAUAAUUUCAACCUUCCUAUCUUUCUACAAAUUCCAGUAUCUGUUUCUUAGUCAAGUCAUUGGGGAAAAUCGGAACUCCUUAAGAAAUUCCUAGGAAAAUUUCUAUUUUGAAAAAUAAAAUGUUGACGUCAUUGCUGAGAAUUAAAUUUAUUUAUCAAAGUAAAUUGGGGGAAAUAUUUCUGAGACUACUUCAGAUCACCCAAAGAUGUGAAAGCAGCACAGUGAUAUUUUGCAUAAGAGUUGUUUUUUAGUUCAGUAGUUUUUUUAAAUUGAAUCUGUGAUUCUUUGUUUUGUAAGGUUUUUCUGAAUAUUGAAGAGUUGUGAGGUGUAGAUUGGCCAGUUAUAUAUUGAAAUCAGACUUCAAUAUAAAAUGUUGAUCAAAUUUCUUUGGAAAAAAAUCUGUAAAAUUAAAUAUCCUUAAAACUA